GUCUGUGGCUACACUACCCUUAACGUACUCGAUCUUAACUGAUCUUGAAAGCCAAGCAGGGUCAGGUCUGGUUAGUACUUGGAUGGGAGAAAUUAUCUGAGUUCAAACAUCACAAAAA
rnacentral:rRNA from 2 species